rnacentral:rRNA from 1 species
GACGAACGCUGGCGGCGUGCUUAACACAUGCAAGUCGAACGGAAAGGUCCUGCUUUGGUGGGGUGCUCGAGUGGCGAACGGGUGAGUAACACGUGAGUAACCUGUCCCUGACUUUGGGAUAACUUCAUGCAACUGGGGCUAAUACCGGAUAGGAGCUCCUGCUGCAUGGUGGGGGUUGGAAGGUUUCGGCGGUUGGGGUUGGAAUCGCGUCUCAUUAGCUUGUUGGUUUGGUAGUGGCUUAGCAAGGCUUUGACGCGUAGCCGGGCUGAGAGGGUGACCGGCCACGUUAGGCUUGAGAUGCGGCACGGCCCACAACGGGAGGCAGGGGUGGGGUAGAUUGUACUGUGGGCUGAAGCCUGAUGUAGUCACGCAGCGUGGGGUAUGACGGGAUGCGGGUUGUAUUCCAAUGUCGCCUGUGACGAGACGUGAGUGACGGUAAUGGGUGAAGAAGCACCGGCUAACUACGUG